GAUGAACGCUGGCGGCGUGCCUAAUACAUGCAAGUCGAGCGAACGGACGAGAAGCUUGCUUCUCUGAUGUUAGCGGCGGACGGGUGAGUAACACGUGGAUAACCUACCUAUAAGACUGGGAUAACUUCGGGAAACCGGAGCUAAUACCGGAUAAUAUUUUGAACCGCAUGGUUCAAAAGUGAAAGACGGUCUUGCUGUCACUUAUAGAUGGAUCCGCGCUGCAUUAGCUAGUUGGUAAGGUAACGGCUUACCAAGGCAACGAUGCAUAGCCGACCUGAGAGGGUGAUCGGCCACACUGGAACUGAGACACGGUCCAGACUCCUACGGGAGGCAGCAGUAGGGAAUCUUCCGCAAUGGGCGAAAGCCUGACGGAGCAACGCCGCGUGAGUGAUGAAGGUCUUCGGAUCGUAAAACUCUGUUAUUAGGGAAGAACAUAUGUGUAAGUAACUGUGCACAUCUUGACGGUACCUAAUCAGAAAGCCACGGCUAACUACGUGCCAGCAGCCGCGGUAAUACGUAGGUGGCAAGCGUUAUCCGGAAUUAUUGGGCGUAAAGCGCGCGUAGGCGGUUUUUUAAGUCUGAUGUGAAAGCCCACGGCUCAACCGUGGAGGGUCAUUGGAAACUGGAAAACUUGAGUGCAGAAGAGGAAAGUGGAAUUCCAUGUGUAGCGGUGAAAUGCGCAGAGAUAUGGAGGAACACCAGUGGCGAAGGCGACUUUCUGGUCUGUAACUGACGCUGAUGUGCGAAAGCGUGGGGAUCAAACAGGAUUAGAUACCCUGGUAGUCCACGCCGUAAACGAUGAGUGCUAAGUGUUAGGGGGUUUCCGCCCCUUAGUGCUGCAGCUAACGCAUUAAGCACUCCGCCUGGGGAGUACGACCGCAAGGUUGAAACUCAAAGGAAUUGACGGGGACCCGCACAAGCGGUGGAGCAUGUGGUUUAACUCGAAGCAACGCGAAGAACCUUACCAAAUCUUGACAUCCUUUGACAACUCUAGAGAUAGAGCCUUCCCCUUCGGGGGACAAAAUGACAGGUGGUGCAUGGUUGUCGUCAGCUCGUGUCGUGAGAUGUUGGGUUAAGUCCCGCAACGAGCGCAACCCUUAAGCUUAGUUGCCAUCAUUAAGUUGGGCACUCUAAGUUGACUGCCGGUGACAAACCGGAGGAAGGUGGGGAUGACGUCAAAUCAUCAUGCCCCUUAUGAUUUGGGCUACACACGUGCUACAAUGGACAAUACAAAGGGCAGCGAAACCGCGAGGUCAAGCAAAUCCCAUAAAGUUGUUCUCAGUUCGGAUUGUAGUCUGCAACUCGACUACAUGAAGCUGGAAUCGCUAGUAAUCGUAGAUCAGCAUGCUACGGUGAAUACGUUCCCGGGUCU
rnacentral:rRNA from 1 species